GAGAAAUAUCUGCUUUCUAUUCACCUUCAUGAGCAUGUUUAACGCUAGAAUAUAAAAAAUGUAUGUGUAUAAUUCGUUUUUACAAGUAUUAAUUGUUUAUUUCCUGUCAUACAGUUUAUUUACUUUGCCAUUAUCAAAUAGAUUUGUAAUAGCACUGAAAAUAAUUUUUUUAAAGUGUGUUAGUGUUUUCACUCUUUUUGAUAACUGAAAAAAUAUGUAUGAAGUGUUAAUUUGUUAUGAUUGUUUUCUCGGUUUUAUACAGACCUUGCUAUUUAAUGUUAGCCUGAAAUGCGUCUAAAUGCAUUGCGCUUUAAGUUAGAAUUGUAAAACUGUCGUGACCAUGUUCACCAACUGCUGUCAUGUGAUCAAUAGGCACUGAAAGGUCUUCAGGCUGCAUCAAGCACGUUUUUUGCAAACAUUGCAUUUCAUUUCAGGUGGCUUUAUGGCCAUAUUGAUCAAGAAGCACAAUCCCUCUAUCAGUUGAAGAACUUACAGGCUGUUUACACUGUGCAGAUGCCAUUGCACACAUGCACAUCAAGAGAGAAUGCAAAAUGCAGUGAGUCAUGGGGCAAGCCAUCUGUGUCCUCACGCAAGAGAAAAAAAAUGUUGAACCUCCUUCGCAGAAGAGCCAUCAAUCAUCUCUCUCCCUAAGCAUAAGACAUGCUGCAAGCUGUGAACACUCUUUUUUCUUGUCAAACGCACUGAAACAAAAUGGUAAUAUGAAACUUUCCACAUGCUCUUGCUGCUUUGUGCAAUACCAGCUGGCAAUCUCCUUAUGUAGAAGAAGGUGCUCACACUUUUGCCAAUCUCAAACUCAAGCCUCCCUUAAGCAUGACCUUAAAUUCGCUGCGCAUUGACGACGCAAUAGCAGAAAACCCCAUGGGCUUCAUCUUUCGAUAAUUACAAGUGUAAGGUUAGAACUCAAUAUCAGCAGACAAGAAAAAUAUGUCCAUAUCAUAAACAUUAUCUCUUAAGAAAGGAUAAAUGUGGCACAAGUUUAGUGGGCCGUGUGAAACAACCAUUUUUAUUUAUUGCAGAUAACUAAAUUUAACUCGCAAGCCCUACUAGUAAAUGAGCUGUUUUGUCUGAGGUGUAGCGAAAACAUUAACUCCACAAAGCACAACAUAUCAUUUUUGAUACACUGUUUUAUACCUUAAGAUUCUCAUCUAGGCACGGGAAACACUACACAAAGCCUAUAGCAGUGUUUAUAAUAUACUGGAGUGAAGCACCAAGUAGUGGAUAGUUCAGAAAAUCAAUUACUAAAAAAUUAAUACACUGAUAUUUUAAACUCUAGUAACAUUUGAUUGUUUUUUGUAGGAAUUAACUCUCAUGGCCAGAAAGCAAGGUGAUCAAGUUAUA
rnacentral:lncRNA from 1 species